rnacentral:rRNA from 1 species
UUUAAAGACAAUAGGAACAUGCCUGAUCCCGUCUGAUCUCGGAAGCUUAGCAGGGUCGGGCCUGGUUAGCACUUGGAUGGGAGACAACCUAGGAAGACUGGGCGAUGAAG